rnacentral:rRNA from 1 species
UUAAAUGGCCGCGGUAUUUUAACCGUGCAAAGGUAGCGCAAUCACUCGUCCUCUAAUUAAGGACCUGUAUGAAUGGUUAGACGAGGGCUUAGCUGUCUCCCCUUUCCAGUCAGUGAAAUUGAUCUAUCCGUGCAGAAGCGGGUAUAAUAAUACAAGACGAGAAGACCCUCUGGAGCUUAAGGUACAAGAAUUAAUCAUGUUAAACAAACCCUACAAAGUUCUUAAACCUAAUGAGAAAUAAAACACUACCUUCGGUUGGGGCGACCACGGAGGAAAAAACAGCCUCCAAGUGGACUGGAUAGUAUCCAAAACCAAGAUAAACAUAUCUAAGUAACAGAACAUCUGACCAAAAAUGAUCCGGCCACAAACCGAUCAACGAACCAAGUUACCCAAGGGAUAACAGCGCAAUCCUCUUCCAGAGUUCAUAUCGACGAGGGGGUUUACGACCUCGAUGUUGGAUCAGG